UCAAGAAACCUAAAAGAAACAGAUGGCCUCUGUGCCGUUUUGACGAUUUGUCGUCCAGGAGCCCCGAACAUCACUUCAACUCCGAUGGCUGCGGAGAGAGUAAGGACUCGGCUACCAGGUACGGGCGUACGACGCCAGCUGGGCGUGGAGGCGGUGGUGCACGUGCGAGGGCAAAGCUUAAUUGCGGCACUGGAGGCUCACCAUUAUUGCUAGGGUUUUCGGUGUUUGGGGGGCAGUUGGGCCAUGAUAGUUGGGCUAGAGGGGUUUGUAAUUUGGGCCUGGUGUUGGGUAAUGCAAUUAGGUAAUGGGUUAGGUUUAUGUUAAAAUGGUUUGGGCCGAUUUGGGCCCUAUCAGGCCUGCUGUAAUGGACUGUGUGCAUUUUAAAAUUUGGUUUUAUUUUCACUUAUAAAAUUGGGUUUAUUUAGGUUAGCGGGCCCGGGCAAAAAUGGGCUCUUACAAAUAGGAUAAUUAAACAUCAUCGUCUCCUUUGGUUAUUAGUGUAAUAGCAUAAGCAAAAAACUUAUUUAGUCUAUAUGUUUUAACAUGAGGAAAAACUAAUAUAAUGAAUGGGUGAACCUUGUUUAUCUA